rnacentral:lncRNA from 1 species
AUUAGUGCAGUGAUGAAGCAUGUAUUGUGGACUAGAGUUUCUGAUAUUGGGCUCUUCUUCCCAUUUUAUUUUGACGACAAACCCUUGGCUGUCUGAGCACUGUACCUUUCAUCUUAUUCAUAAGUUUUCCACUGAUUUUUUAAUAUUCUUUUUAUAAAAUUAGGUUAAGAGCUAAUGAUGAGAAAUACAAUUAUCUUAGCGGAUUUCAGUGAGAUUACUUUUAAUCAAUGAUCUGAUUGUUACACACACUGAAGCUCUUCAAUCUCUUUUUUAUUUAUUUUUUUUGUAUGAGAUGGAAUGUAAAUAAUAAUAGCAGUGAUGAGGCAAAACACAUGAGGAUGUGUUAAGGGAAGUGGACAAGACGAUUAAAACCGUUUUGCCGUGAUCCCCAUUUUAAACGACUUCUCCUUCCACUGAGCUUU